AUACGAAAGGGGCUAGCGUUGUUCGGAAUUACUGGGCGUAAAGCGCACGUAGGCGGCAUUGUAAGUUGGGGGUGAAAUCCCAGGGCUCAACCCUGGAACUGCCUCCAAAACUACAGAGCUCGAGGAUGUGAGAGGAUAGUGGAAUUCCGAGUGUAGAGGUGAAAUUCGUAGAUAUUCGGAAGAACACCAGUGGCGAAGGCGACUGUCUGGCACAUUUCUGACGCUGAGGUGCGAAAGCGUGGGGAGCGAACAGGAUUAGAUACCCCAGUAGUCC
rnacentral:rRNA from 1 species